rnacentral:misc_RNA from 1 species
GUAAUUAUUAUGUUUUUCUGACGCUGACUGCAAUUACAAAAGGUUUAAUGAUGUCCUAUCGGCAGGCAAGCCCACCAAGGAAACAAAUAGUACGCAAAAGACAUGGGUAUAAUCAGUAAGAGAAGGGCCAGAAGGCGGGGCCGAAGCCCUGCCAGCUGGAUCCAACUCCCCGAUGAUGUUUAAUGAUCCUUCCGCAGGUUCACCUACGGAAA